UUCUGACGUAUUAUGUUGGUAAAAAAGUAAUUGCGGUUUUUGCCAUUGAAAGUAAGGGCAAAACUGCAAUUACUUUUGUACCAACCUAAUAGAAUUCUUGUCU
rnacentral:miRNA from 10 species